AUGCUCCGCCGCAUCCGCAUCUCCACUCCUGUCAUCGGAGGAAAAAAAGCUCCCGUACGAACUCCCGACGCCGAUGCUCCGCGGCAUCCGCACCCGCCUCCGUCGCCGCCCCUCCCCCUCCUGCACCUAGCCGGCGUCCGUUCUCCGCCUCCCUCUCCGCCACUCGUCCGCCUCCACCAGUACCGCACCACCAGCACGCCGAUGUCCCGCAUCCACCUCCACCUCCACCAACACCGCCGCCUCUUCUCCUCCACCUCGCCGCCCUCGCGCUCCUGGUCUCCCCACGAAGCCUUUGCCGCGGCCACAGAGCGCGUCCGCGCCGGGAAUUUCAGCUGGGAAGACGCACACAACCUGUUCGACGAAUUGCUGCGGCAGGCCACCCCGGUCCCCGGGCGCUCCCUCAACGGCUUCCUUGCCGCCCUCGCCCGUGCGCCCGCCUCCGAAGCCUGCAGAGAUGGUCCCGCCCUCGCCCUCGCUCUCUUCAACCACGUCUGCCGGGACGAAUCCGGCGCGCGGGUGGCACCGCCCACAAUCUUCACGUACGGCAUUCUCAUGAACUGCUGCUGUCGUGCGCAUCGCCCGGACCUAGGGCUAGCCUUCUUCGGUCGCCUCCUCAGGACGGGCCUGAAGGCUGACCUGAUCGUCGCCAACACCCUCCUUAAGUGUCUCUGCCGCGCGAAACGGACGGAUGAGGCUGUGAACGUGCUGCUUCAUAGGAUGUCUGAGCUCGGCUGUGUGCCUGAUGCCUUCUCAUACUCCAUUGUUCUCAAGAGCUUAUGCGACAAUGGCAUGAGUCAGCAGGCGCUCAACCUGCUCCAUAUGAUGGCGAAAGUAGGAGGUGGCUGCUCCCCCGACGUGGUGGCGUAUAGCACAGUCAUCCAUGGCUUCUUUAAGGAAGGUGAAACAGGCAAGGCAUGCAAUCUGUUCCAUGAAAUGAUGCAGCAAGGUGUUGAGCCCAAUGUGUGGACAUAUAGUUCAAUCAUUGAUGCAUUGUGCAAGGCCAGAGCAAUGGACAAGGCAGAGCUAGUGCUUCAGCAGAUGGUUAACAAAGGUGUUCAACCCGAUAAUGUGACAUAUAAUUGCAUGAUCCAUGGAUAUUCCACAUCUGGGCGGUGGAAAGAGGCUGUUAAAUUGUUUAGAGAAAUGAAAAGCCGGGGCCUUAUACCAGAUAAUUUUACUUGCAACUCCUUAAUGACUUACCUUUGUAAGCAUGGAAGAAGCAAAGAAGGUGCAGAAUUUUUUGAUGCCAUGACUGCCAAAGGGCACAGAGAUGUCAUCUCCUACUAUAUUUUGCUUCAUGGGUAUGCCAAUGAAGAAUGCUUUGCUGAUAUGAUUGAUCUCUUUAAUUCAAUGGAAAGAAACGGUAUUGCUGCCAACUGCCGUGUUUUCAACAUAUUAAUUAAUGGAUAUGCUAAACGUGGAAUGACGGAUGAAGCUAUGCUGAUAUUUACAGAAAUGUGGGAAAAAGGAGUGAGUCCCAAUGUAGUCACAUAUUCCACUGUAAUAGCUGCACUUUCCAGGAUGGGUAGGUUGACUGAUUCUAUGGAAAAAUUUAAUCAGAUGAUUGCCAUGGGAAUUCAGCCAAACACAGCUGUUUAUCACUCCCUAAUUCAGGGUUGUUUUAUGCAUGGUGGCUUGGUUAAAGCUAAGGAGCUGAUGUUUGAAAUGAUGAACAAAGGUAUUCCUCGUCCUAACAUUGUUUUCUUCAGUUCAGUAAUAAACAGUCUGUGCAAAGAAGGAAGGGUUAUGGAUGCACAUGCUGUCUUUGACUUGGCUAUAGGCAUCGGUGAGAGGCCUAAUGUCAUUACAUUUAAUUCACUGAUUGACGGAUAUUGCUUAGUUGGGAAGAUGGAUAAAGCAUUCAAAAUACUUCAUGUCAUGGAAUCAGUUGGUGUUGAGUCUGAUGUUGUUACUUAUAGCGCACUUCUUGAUGGCUAUUUUAAAAACAGAAGGAUUGAUGAUGCUUUGACUUUGUUUAGAGAAAUGCCGCGCAAGAGAAUUAAACCUAACACUGUUACAUAUGGCAUCAUGUUGGGUGGGUUGUUUCAUGCUGGGAGAACUGUUGCUGCAAUGAAAAUGUUCCAUGAGAUGAUUGAAAGUGGAGCAACAGUGCGCAUUUCCACAUACAAUAUAAUACUUGGAGGUCUUUGUCAAACUAAUUGUGUAGACGAAGCGAUUGCACUGUUCCAGAAAUUGCGAGCAAUGAAUGUGAAGUUCAAUAUUGAAAUAUUCAAUACCAUGAUUGAUGCAAUGUACAAGGUUCAAAGAAAAGAAGAAGCUAAGGAAUUGUUUGCUGCAAUAUCAGGCAAUGGGUUGGUGCCCAAUGAAUAUACUUAUGCAGUAAUGAUAAGAAAUCUUCUAAAAGGCGGAGCAGUGGAAGAUGCUGACAAUAUGUUUUCAUCAAUGGACAACAGUGGCAUCGUUCCUAGUUCCCGUCUUAUAAAUGAUAUCAUCAGAAUGUUGUUGGAAAAAGGAAAGGGAAACAUCUGGAGGAUAUUAAGUUGCUCCCUGCAAAGUAUCAAUUUUUUGAUGGAUUUGGUUGACUAG
rnacentral:rRNA from 1 species